UUAAAAUCGUUAAUCAAUAAACUCGUCUCCGAUUAGCCUUCCGCGCGCAGGUUUUCUAGCACCAGGUACGCAGAGGAAGUCGACGAUUGAGUCGGAAUGAGUUCUACAAGCGCUCUUCGAGAGCUACAGCGCGAGCUGGAGACGAAAGCCAACGAUCUCAGCAAGCUACAGAAAGAUAUUGCGAAGAACCACCAAGUGAGGAAGAAGUACACUAUUCAGCUGGGUGAGAACGAGCUCGUUCUUAAGGAAUUGGAUCUGCUUAACGACGACGCAAAUGUAUAUAAACUGAUUGGUCCAGUGCUCGUGAAGCAAGAUUUGGCAGAAGCAAAUGCGAAUGUGCGCAAGAGAAUUGAAUACAUCUCUGCAGAAUUGAAACGUCUUGAUUCAGCCCUUCAAGAUUUGGAAGAGAAGCAAAAUAGCAAGAGAGAUGCGAUAUUGAAGUUACAGCAAAGGAUUCAAUCUCUGCAGGCUGGAAAAGCUAAAGCGUAACCUGUUUUAUUGUUGUUUUUCAGCUGAAGACAUUCUGUUGAAAGCUGCUUCGAUUGAAUGGAUACCUGCCAGGUAAAGCUUCUUUUUAUGAGGGGAGCGACCUUACUGGGACAGGGAGAGAGAAAAAGGAGAGCCAGAGAAGAGAAAAAGGAGAGCCAGAGAAGGGGAUAUUCGGAGGGCAAGCCUGUUGAGGUGACCAUGGUGGAAGGGACGGAGAGUGGCGUCGAUGAUUUUUUAUGGCAUACUUCCCUCACUUUCUGAUCCUCAUGAUUCUCUUUUUGAAUGGCCUUGAUUUUAUUUCUUCAUAGUGAUUUUAAGGUGUGAGAAAAUAAAAGUAUGGUGUGGCAAUUGACAUAGAACCCAUUUGGCAACCAAGCAAGGAGAUCCAGUUAUUGAUUUGUGAAUCAUUGUGCAAAGGACCAAAUCAUUCUGUUGCCUCUGGCAUGUGCUUCAAAUUCCAAACGGAACUCCUUGCCGGGAACCAUUGUUUUUGUAUGGUUUUAGUAGCUUUGUUAGGUUGAUUUUCAACAUAGACCACAUUCCUAAGAAGUUAUUGCCUACAAACUAGGAUUUUUCUUAUGUCAUUCAGGAAAUGGAAGAUAUGAUGCUUGUCUAAUUGCCCAUCCUUGCUGAAACAACCCUGGAAGAGACAUUGUGUCCAAAAAUGGUUUAACCAUUAUGUAUUUACAUGCUUUUUUAUUUAUGUGCUUCUGUUCUUUGCUUAUUUGGAUCAGACAACAUAUUGAAAGCUUACCCCGAAUUUUACUACUCGUCA